rnacentral:rRNA from 1 species
UACCUGCAGUCGAACGGUGACGAUCAAGCUUGCUUGGUCUGAUCAGUGGCGAACGGGUGAGUAACACGUGAGCAACCUGCCCCAGACUCUGGGAUAACCCCGGGAAACCGGAGCUAAUACCGGAUAUGACACUCGCACGCAUGUGCAGGGUGUGGAAAGUUUUUCGGUCUGGGAUGGGCUCGCGGCCUAUCAGCUUGUUGGUGAGGUAGUGGCUCACCAAGGCGACGACGGGUAGCCGGCCUGAGAGGGCGACCGGCCACACUGGGACUGAGACACGGCCCAGACUCCUACGGGAGGCAGCAGUGGGGAAUAUUGCACAAUGGGCGAAAGCCUGAUGCAGCGACGCCGCGUGAGGGAUGACGGCCUUCGGGUUGUAAACCUCUUUCAGCAGGGAAGAAGCGCAAGUGACGGUACCUGCAGAAGAAGCACCGGCUAACUACGUGCCAGCAGCCGCGGUAAUACGUAGGGUGCGAGCGUUGUCCGGAAUUAUUGGGCGUAAAGAGCUUGUAGGCGGUUUGUCGCGUCUGCUGUGAAAAUCCGGGGCUCAACCCCGGACUUGCAGUGGGUACGGGCAGGCUAGAGUGUGGUAGGGGAGACUGGAAUUCCUGGUGUAGCGGUGGAAUGCGCAGAUAUCAGGAGGAACACCGAUGGCGAAGGCAGGUCUCUGGGCCACUACUGACGCUGAGAAGCGAAAGCAUGGGGAGCGAACAGGAUUAGAUACCCUGGUAGUCCAUGCCGUAAACGUUGGGCGCUAGGUGUGGGACCCAUUCCACGGGUUCCGUGCCGCAGCUAACGCAUUAAGCGCCCCGCCUGGGGAGUACGGCCGCAAGGCUAAAACUCAAAGGAAUUGACGGGGGCCCGCACAAGCGGCGGAGCAUGCGGAUUAAUUCGAUGCAACGCGAAGAACCUUACCAAGGCUUGACAUACACCGGAAUCACUCAGAG